UUAUAUAUAUCCCUUUUAUCGAAGUUAUCAGAAUUUUAAGAUUUGCAUUAUAUAUUUUUCACUUUACAACAAGCUUGUCUCAAGCUAACAGAGUGCUUCAUCACGCAUCCCUCCGUACACGCAUCUUUUUUGCAUAUCUGGCGCUAUUUAAGACAGAUUUUCUCCUCGUUAUGUGGCAACUAAGGGGCAGCACGUCCGGGUCUCGCUCCCCUCGUCGGGGGUUCUGCGCCAGAAGAGCCACAAAACUUGGAAGCUUCGAACCCAGAGAGACGGGGAGAAGCAGAAGAAAGUUUCUCUCAGAUCAGCCAAGGGCGAUGAGACUGCAGCAGCCCCUGCUGGUAAGUUCCUUCAUGGCGUCUAAUCUGAGCCCACAAGCUCUGCUCCGGAAAUCCAAUUUAUUUCUGAGUCACGCACACAAUAAUCAGCUUUUAUAGAGAUAAACCACAACAACCACA